GCCAGGGAUACAGAGAGCGUGCGUGAGCGAGAGAGAGAGAGAGUGAAAAUGAACGGAAUAAUGUCACGUUGACCAGUGACCAGCACGUUUACAGAACGUUUGGAUAUUUGGAGCGGUUUUAAAAUGGAUUAACUGAUUCGGUUGUUGUAUUUUUUUUACACCUGGAUUGAACUCUGUCGAUAACUUGGAUUAUGAGGAUAACUGGCGCCACAAUUUACCAUUGAGAAGCAGCAAUACUGCACUGGAGAAAGCAACAAGGUACUGUAGCCCUCAAAAUCUAGGAGAUAUGAGAGGACUUUGUAUCUGGAUUCUGAGAGUUUCCAUGCUUCUGCUGCUGCUCAGGCCAUAUCCCCUGGAUUGCCAACUCACUAUAGACCACAGGAAGGUCAGUAGAGUGGCUGGGGGUCAGCAGACGGGAGAAGGGGAGCAGGGAGGGGGUUGUGCUGGGUGGAGUUUUA
rnacentral:lncRNA from 1 species